UGCUGCUUGCAGCUUUUUAGAUCAGGACUGCAAUGGAGAUACAAUUAAAUCCUAAAGGUACUUUAGAAGCAGGGGGUGUUGUAAUGUCUUUUCUAGAUAAUGGCGUGACACUAUGAAGAGAUAUCAAGUUUAAUUCUUACAAAUUAGAAAGCAUCAUCUGACUAAACUGAGUGUCUCUGGGGCUUAAUCAGCUUGUAUCACUAGUGGGGUUUUGUCAUGCAAACUGCACUCCUUUAAAUCAUAAGGAUGUGCUGGAAGGCUGCUUUCACUUUUUAGAAUUAAACUUUUCCCCCAGUCUCGUGAGUAUUGCAACUCUCUUAAUGCUUUUAGGAGCUUCAAAGCAUCCUUAAGAAAGGGAAACUAACUUUUGAGAAUAUUAUGGAAAAACUGCGAAUCAAGUAUUCCGAAAUGUACACCAUAGUCCCUGCAGAGAUUGAAUCCCAGGUGGAAGAAUGCAGAAAAGCUUUAGAAGACAUAGAUGAGAAGAUUAGCAAUGAAGUCUUAAAAAGCUCACCAUCAUAUGCAAUGAGGAGAAAAAUAGAAGAAAUUAACAAUGGGCUUCAUAAUGUUGAAAAGAUGUUGCAGCAGAAAAGCAAAAAUAUUGAGAAAGCUCAAGAAAUUCAAAAGAAAAUGUGGGACGAGUUAGAUCUAUGGCAUUCCAAACUAAAUGAGCUGGAUUCUGAAGUUCAGGACAUUGUUGAACAGGACCCAGGACAGGCUCAAGAAUGGAUGGAUAACUUGAUGAUUCCUUUCCAGCAGUAUCAGCAAGUAUCACAGAGAGCAGAGUGUAGAACCUCACAGUUGAAUAAGGCCACAGUUAAGAUGGAGGAAUACAGUGACCUUCUGAAGAGCACUGAGGCUUGGAUAGAAAAUACCAGUCAUUUGCUGGCCAAUCCUGCUGACUAUGACUCUUUGAGGACACUGAGUCACCAUGCUAGCGCUCUGCAGGAUUCCAAGGGUUUUAGAAGUGGACGAAGACCAAAUAUAUAUGUUUCUUAUUAUGUUACAGUUAUACGGAUGGCUUUGGAAGAUUCAGAACAGAAGCACAAUCUUUUACAUUCAAUCUUUAUGGAUCUAGAAGACCUGUCAAUAAUUUUUGAAACAGAUGAAUUAACACAAUCCAUACAAGAGUUAAGUAAUCAAGUAACAGCUUUACAGCAAAAAAUAAUGGAAAGCCUUCCACAGAUUCAGCGAAUGGCUGAUGAUAUGGUUGCUAUUGAAUCUGAAGUAAAAUCAAUGGAAAAAAGAGUUUCAAAAAUCAAAACUAUCCUAUUAUCAAAAGAAAUAUUUGAUUUUUCACCUGAAGAACAUCUCAAACAUGGGGAGGUCAUACUUGAAAAUAUACGUCCCAUGAAGAAAACCAUUGCUGAGAUAGUGUCUUACCAAGUGGAACUGAGGUUGCCCCAAACAGGAAUGAAACCUCUGCCUGUGUUUCAGCGGACAAAUCAGCUUUUACAAGAUAUAAAACUAUUGGAAAAUAUGACUCAAGAACAAAAUGAGUUAUUAAAGGUAGUCAUAAAACAGACCAAUGAAUGUGAUGAAGAAAUAGAAAAUUUGAAACAGAUCUUAAAUAAUUAUUCAGCUCAGUUCUCCCUUGAACAUAUGUCACCAGACCAAGCUGACAAGCUGCCACAACUACAGGGAGAAAUCGAACGUAUGGAGAAACAGAUUCUGAGUUUGAACCAGAGAAAAGAAGACCUGUUGGUGGACUUGAAGGCCACCGUACUAAACCUUCACCAGCAUUUGAAGCAAGAACAAGAAGGAGUAGAAAGAGAUAGGCUGCCAGCUGUAACAUCAGAGGAAGGUGGAGUGGCAGAGAGGGAUGCUUCUGAGCGGAAGUUGAACAGAAGAGGCUCCAUGUCUUACCUGGCAGCAGUCGAGGAAGAGGUGGAAGAAAGUUCCGUGAAGAGCGAAAAUGGAGAUGAGAAGGCAGAGCCAUCUCCUCAGUCUUGGUCUUCACUUUGGAAGCAUGACAAGGACAUGGAGGAAGACAGAGCUUCCUCAUCCUCUGGAACAAUUGUUCAGGAAGCAUAUGGGAAAAUAAGCACCUCUGAUAAUUCCAUGGCACAAAUCCUCACACCAGACUCACUAAACACUGAGCAAGGCCCAGAAUGUUCCCUAAGGCCCAACCAAACAGAAGAGGGCACCACACCUCCUAUUGAGGCUGACACUCUGGACUCUUCUGACGCGCAAGGAGGUUUGGAGCCCAGGGUGGAGAAAACUAGGCCGGAGCCCGCAGAAGUCCUGCAUGCCUGCAAGACCCAGGUGGCCGAGCUGGAGCUGUGGCUGCAACAAGCCAACGUGGCAGUUGAGCCGGAAACAUUAAACUCAGACAUGCAGCAGGUGCUGGAACAGCAGCUGGUAGGGUGCCAGGCUAUGCUAACGGAGAUUGAGCACAAGGUUGCCUUUCUGUUAGAGACUUGCAAAGAUCAGGGUCUGGGAGAUAAUGGAGCCACUCAACAUGAGGCUGAAGCGCUUUCCCUGAAACUGAAAACAGUGAAGUGCAAUUUAGAAAAAGUCCAGAUGAUGCUUCAGGAGAAGCACAGUGAAGAUCAGCAUCCUACCAUUCUAAAGAAAUCCUCAGAGCCAGAGCAUCAAGAAGCUCUCCAACCAGUCAACCUUUCUGAAUUGGAAUCCAUUGUAACUGAAAGGCCACAAUUCAGCAGACAAAAAGAUUUCCAGCAGCAACAGGUUCUGGAGUUAAAACCAAUGGAACAGAAAGAUUUCAUCAAAUUCAUAGAAUUUAAUGCUAAGAAAAUGUGGCCCCAGUAUUGCCAACAUGAUAAAGAUACAACUCAGGAAUCAUCUGCAAGCAACCAGGCAACCAGCCCUGAAAAUGACGUUCCAGACUCGAUCUUGUCACCCCAGGGCCAAAAUGGAGAUAAGUGGCAAUAUCUGCAUCAUGAACUCUCAUCAAAAAUAAAGCUCCCACUCCCUCAGCUUGUGGAGCCUCAGGUUUCCACAAAUAUGGGUAUUCUACCCAGCGUGAGUAUGUAUAACUUUAGAUACCCAACAACUGAAGAACUGAAAACCUACACCACCCAACUUGAAGACCUGCGCCAAGAAGCAAGUAACCUUCAGACACAGGAAAAUAUGACAGAAGAAGCAUAUAUCAAUUUGGAUAAAAAAUUGUUUGAACUAUUCCUGACCCUCAGUCAGUGCCUCAGCAGUGUGGAGGAGAUGCUGGAGAUGCCCAGGCUUUACAGGGAGGAUGGUUCUGGCCAGCAGGUGCACUAUGAGACGCUGGCUCUUGAGUUGAAGAAACUUUAUUUAGCGCUAAGUGACAAGAAGGGUGAUCUUUUGAAAGCCAUGACUUGGCCUGGCAAGAACACCAACUUGCUCCUUGAAUGUUUUGACAACCUUCAAGUCUGCCUGGAGCACACUCAGGCUGCAGCUGUCUGUAGAAGCAAGUCCCUGAAAGCUGGCCUCGAUUACAACCGCAGUUACCAGCAUGAAAUAAAGAGAUUAUAUGAUCAGCUCAUUAAGAGUAAGACAUCUUUACAACAGUCUUUGAAUGAAAUCAGUGGGCAGAGUGUUGCUGAACAGCUUCAGAAAGCGGAUGCAUAUAGAGUGGAGCUGGAGAACGCCGAGAGCCGAGUGGCCAAACUAAGAGAUGAAGGGGAGAGGCUUCAUUUACCUUAUGCUUUACUCCAGGAGGUUUACAAAUUAGAGGAUGUACUUGACAGUAUGUGGGGAAUGCUAAGAGCCAGGUACACAGAACUCAGCGGCCCUUUCGUCACUGAGAGCCAGCAAGAUGCUUUGUUGCAAGGCAUGGUGGAACUGGUGAAGAUUGGGAAGGAAAAGCUUGCUCAUGGCCACUUAAAACAAACCAAAAGUAAAGUGGCGUUACAGGCUCAAAUAGAAAAUCACAAGGUUUUUUUCCAGAAGCUUGUUGCUGACAUGUUGUUGAUCCAAGCAUACUCUGCCAAAAUACUUCCUUCUUUAUUGCAAAACAGAGAGACAUUUUGGGCAGAACAAGUAACAGAAGUUAAAAUGCUAGAAGAAAAGUCACGCCAAUGUGGUAUGAAGCUGCAGAGUUUGUUGCAGAAAUGGGAAGAAUUUGAUGAAAACUAUGCAUCUCUUGAAAAGGACCUGGAAAUUCUUAUAUCUACAUUGCCCUCUGUGAGUUUGGUGGAAGAAACAGAGGAAAGAUUAGUGGAAAGGAUUUCAUUUUACCAGCAAAUAAAAAGAAACAUUGGUGGAAAACACGCCCGGCUUUACCAAACUCUGAACGAAGGCAAACAGUUGGUGGCGUCUGUGAGCUGUCCUGAAUUAGAGGGCCAGAUCGCAAAACUGGAAGAGCAGUGGUUGUCCCUGAACAAGAAAAUUGACCAUGAGCUCCACAGGCUGCAAGCUCUUCUCAAGCAUCUGCUCAGUUAUAACAGAGAUUCGGAUCAGUUAACCAAGUGGUUGGAAUCUUCCCAGCAUACUCUGAAUUACUGGAAAGAACAGUCCCUCAAUGUGUCUCAGGACUUGGAUACAAUCAGAAGCAACAUCGACAAUUUUUUUGAGUUUUCAAAAGAAGUUGAUGAAAAAUCCUCCUUGAAGACUGCCGUUAUCAGUAUCGGGAACCAGCUUCUUCACCUGAAAGAAACUGAUACAGCUACACUGAGAGCUUCUUUAGCACAGUUUGAACAAAAAUGGACAAUGCUCAUAACUCAACUUCCAGAUAUUCAAGAAAAACUUCACCAGCUUCAAAUGGAGAAAUUGCCGUCUCGUAAAGCAAUCACAGAAAUGAUUAGCUGGAUGAACAAUGUGGAGCAUCAAACUUCAGAUGAAGACUCCAUGCAUUCACCAAGUUCUGCAUCUCAAGUUAAACAUCUUCUUCAGAAGCACAAGGAGUUUAGAAUGGAAAUGGACUAUAAACAGUGGAUAGUUGACUUUGUUAACCAGUCAUUACUUCAGCUAAGCACCUGUGAUGUAGAAAGCAAGCGCUAUGAAAGAACGGAGUUUGCAGAGCACCUGGGGGAGAUGAACCGCCAGUGGCACCGUGUACAUGGAAUGCUGAAUAGAAAGAUACAACAUUUAGAACAACUUCUAGAAAGUAUCACUGAGAGUGAAAAUAAAAUACAGAUUUUGAACAACUGGAUGGAAGCACAAGAAGAGAGACUGAAAACUUUACAAAAACCUGAAAGUGUGAUCUCAGUGCAGAAGCUGCUCCUGGACUGUCAGGAUAUAGAAAAUCAACUUGCAAUUAAAUCCAGAGCACUGGAUGAGUUGAAACAAAGUUAUCUGACUUUGGAGAGUGGGGCAGUGCCAUUGUUAGAAGAUACAGCAUCCCGAAUUGAUGAGUUAUUUCAAAAGAGAAGCAGUGUUCUCACUCAGGUCAAUCAGCUCAAAACCUCCAUGCAGUCAGUUUUACAGGAGUGGAAGAUUUAUGAUCAACUCUAUGAUGAAGUGAAUAUGAUGACAAUCCGAUUCUGGUACUGCAUGGAACACAGCAAGCCUGUGGUGUUAUCAUUGGAGACCUUGAGAUGCCAGGUGGAGAACCUUCAGUCUCUGCAAGAUGAAGCUGAGAGCAGUGAAGGGAGUUGGGAGAAACUCCAGGAGGUUAUUGGCAAACUCAAAGGUCUCUGCCCCUCUGUUGCUGAAAUAAUCGAAGAGAAAUGCCAAAAUACUCAUAAAAGGUGGACUCAGGUGAACCAAGCCAUUGCAGACCAGUUGCAGAAGGCCCAGAGUCUGCUCCAGCUCUGGAAGGCCUAUAGCAAUGCUCAUAGUGAAGCUGCCGCAAGGCUGAAGCAGCAGGAAGCAAAGUUUCAGCAGCUCGCAAACAUCAGCAUGUCUGGAAACAACCUGGCAGAGAUCCUGCCCCCAGCCCUGCAGGACAUAAAGGAGCUGCAGCAUGAUGUGCAGAAGACAAAAGAAGCCUUUCUCCAAAAUUCCAGUGUCCUGGAUCGACUCCCACAACCCGCAGAGUCCAGCACCCACAUGCUCCUCCCGGGCCCCCUGCACUCUCUCCAGAGGGCUGCUUAUUUGGAAAAGAUGCUGCUUGUGAAAGCAAAUGAAUUUGAGUUUGUUCUCUCACAGUUUAAGGAUUUUGGAGUCCGGCUAGAAUCUUUAAAAGGUCUUAUUAUGCAUGAAGAAGAGAAUUUGGAUAGACUUCACCAACAAGAAAAAGAAAAUCCUGACUCAUUCCUGAAUCAUGUGCUGGCACUGACAGCCCAAUCACCUGAUAUUGAACAUUUGAAUGAAGUGAGCCUCAAGCUCCCACUUAGUGACGUAGCUGUGAAGACGUUACAAAAUAUGAACCGGCAAUGGAUUCGGGCCACGGCCACGGCACUGGAGCGCUGCAGUGAGCUUCAGGGAAUUGGAUUGAAUGAAAAGUUUCUUUAUUGCUGUGAAAAGUGGAUCCAACUUUUGGAGAAGAUAGAAGAAGCACUCAAAGUGGAUGUGGCUAACAGCCUUCCUGAGCUCCUGGAGCAGCAGAAAACCUAUGAGAUGUUAGAAGCUGAAGUUUCUAUAAACCAGACAAUUGCUGAUUCCUAUGUCACCCAGUCCUUACAACUCCUGGACACAACAGAAAUAGAGAACAGACCAGAAUUUAUUACAGAAUUCUCAAAGCUGACGGAUCGGUGGCAGAAUGCUGUCCAGGGUGUUCGGCAGAGGAAGGGUGACGUUGAUGGGCUGGUGAGGCAGUGGCAAGAUUUCACUACUUCUGUGGAGAACUUGUUUCGCUUCCUCACUGACACCAGCCACCUGCUAUCUGCAGUGAAGGGCCAGGAGCGCUUCAGCCUCUACCAAACCAGAAGUCUGAUCCAUGAGCUGAAGAAUAAAGAAAUUCAUUUUCAAAGGAGGCGAACUACCUAUGCCCUAACCUUGGAAGCUGGAGAAAAGUUACUGCUCACAACUGACCUGAAAACUAAAGAGUCUGUGGGUAGGAGAAUCAGUCAACUUCAGGACAGCUGGAAAGACAUGGAGCCCCAGCUGGCAGAGAUGAUUAAACAGUUCCAGAGCACUGUAGAGACCUGGGACCAGUGUGAAAAGAAAAUCAAGGAGUUGAAAAGCAGGCUGCAAGUUUUAAAGGCACAAAGUGAAGAUCCUCUUCCAGAGCUUCACGAGGACCUCCAUAACGAAAAAGAGCUGAUUAAGGAACUAGAACAGUCUUUGGCUAGCUGGACUCAGAACUUGAAAGAACUUCAAACUAUGAAGGCGGACUUAACCCGGCACGUUCUCGUGGAAGACGUGAUGGUUUUGAAGGAGCAAAUAGAGCAUUUGCACAGACAAUGGGAGGACCUCUGCUUAAGGGUGGCCAUACGUAAACAGGAGAUUGAAGACAGACUCAAUACAUGGGUUGUAUUCAAUGAAAAAAAUAAAGAGUUGUGUGCCUGGCUGGUGCAGAUGGAAAACAAAGUUCUACAGACAGCGGACAUUAAUAUUGAAGAAAUGAUUGAAAAGUUACAGAAGGACUGCAUGGAAGAAAUAAACUUGUUUAGUGAAAACAAGUUACAGUUAAAGCAGAUGGGUGACCAGUUGAUCAAGGCCAGCAACAAAUCAAGAGCAGCUGAGAUCGAUGACAAGCUCAACAAAAUUAACGAUCGUUGGCAACAUCUUUUUGAUGUCAUCGGAUCAAGGGUGAAGAAGCUGAAGGAGACCUUUGCUUUUAUUCAGCAGUUGGACAAAAACAUGAGCAACCUUCGCACCUGGUUGGCUCGAAUUGAGUCUGAGCUUUCCAAGCCUGUUGUUUAUGAUGUCUGCGAUGAUCAAGAGAUCCAGAAGAGGCUCGCUGAGCAGCAGGAUCUACAGCGAGAUAUUGAACAACACAGCGCAGGGGUGGAGUCCGUGUUUAACAUCUGUGACGUCCUGCUGCACGACUCCGAUGCCUGUGCAAAUGAGACCGAGUGUGACUCGAUCCAGCAGACCACCAGGAGCCUGGACAGACGCUGGAGGAACAUUUGUGCCAUGUCCAUGGAGCGGCGCAUGAAAAUCGAGGAGACGUGGCGCCUGUGGCAGAAGUUUUUAGACGACUAUUCUCGCUUUGAGGACUGGCUCAAGUCAGCUGAGAGGACGGCGGCCUGCCCAAAUUCCUCAGAGGUGUUGUACACGAGUGCCAAAGAGGAACUGAAGAGGUUUGAGGCCUUUCAGCGGCAGAUUCACGAGCGGCUCACUCAGCUGGAGCUCAUCAACAAGCAGUACCGGCGGCUGGCCCGGGAGAACCGCACAGACACGGCCAGCAGGCUGAAGCAGAUGGUCCACGAGGGCAACCAGCGCUGGGACAACCUUCAGAGGCGGGUCACAGCCGUCCUGCGGAGACUCAGGCAUUUCACCAACCAGAGGGAAGAAUUUGAGGGCACCAGGGAGAGCAUUCUGGUGUGGCUCACAGAGAUGGACCUGCAGCUGACCAACGUGGAGCACUUCUCAGAGAGUGACGCCGAUGACAAGAUGCGCCAACUGAAUGGCUUCCAACAGGAAAUUACAUUAAAUACCAACAAGAUUGAUCAGCUCAUUGUGUUUGGGGAGCAGCUGAUUCAGAAGAGCGAGCCCCUGGAUGCUGUGCUGAUUGAGGAUGAGCUGGAGGAACUCCACCGCUACUGCCAGGAGGUGUUUGGAAGGGUCUCCCGGUUCCACCGGCGGCUCACCUCCUGCACUCCGGGCUUGGAAGAUGAAAAGGAGGCCUCUGAGAAUGAAACAGACAUGGAAGACCCCAGAGAAAUCCAGACUGAUUCCUGGCGUAAACGGGGAGAGAGCGAGGAACCGUCAUCUCCUCAGUCCCUGUGUCAUCUAGUGGCCCCGGGGCACGAGCGGUCUGGCUGCGAGACCCCUGUCAGCGUGGACUCCAUCCCCCUGGAGUGGGACCACACAGGCGACGUGGGGGGCUCCUCCUCUCACGAAGAGGACGAGGAGGGCCCAUACUACAGCGCACUGUCAGGUAAAUCCAUUUCGGAUGGCCACUCGUGGCAUGUUCCCGACAGCCCUUCCUGUCCCGAGCAUCACUACAAGCAAAUGGAAGGUGACAGGAAUGUUCCACCUGUUCCCCCUGCGUCCAGCACCCCUUAUAAACCACCCUAUGGAAAGCUACUAUUACCUCCAGGCACGGAUGGUGGCAAAGAAGGCCCGCGAGUCCUGAAUGGCAGCCCACAGCAGGAAGACGGGGGACUGGCCGGUAUCACAGAGCAGCAGUCAGGUGCCUUCGACAGAUGGGAGAUGAUUCAAGCACAGGAGCUUCACAAUAAGCUCAAAAUAAAACAAAAUUUGCAACAGCUGAACUCUGAUAUCAGUGCCAUCACUACUUGGCUGAAAAAAACUGAAGCAGAGCUGGAAAUGUUAAAGAUGGCAAAGCCUCCCUCUGAUAUCCAGGAAAUAGAACUGAGAGUGAAGAGACUGCAGGAGAUACUGAAAGCCUUUGACACUUACAAGGCAUUAGUGGUCUCUGUCAACGUGAGCAGCAAGGAAUUUCUGCAAACCGAGAGCCCCGAAUCCACAGAGCUCCAAAGUAGACUCCGCCAGCUGAGCCUGCUCUGGGAAGCAGCACAGGGCGCAGUGGACAGCUGGAGAGGGGGCUUACGACAGUCGCUCAUGCAGUGCCAGGACUUCCACCAGUUGAGUCAAAAUCUGCUGCUGUGGUUAGCGAGUGCCGAGAACCGGAGGCAGAAGGCUCAUGUCACCGAUCCAAAGGCAGACCCCCGGGCUCUCCUAGAGUGUCAGAGGGAACUAAUGCAACUGGAAAAGGAGCUGGUAGAACGUCAACCUCAAGUGGACAUGUUACAGGAGAUUUCAAACAGCCUUCUCAUUAAGGGAUAUGGAGAAGACUAUAUUGAAGCUGAAGAAAAGGUGCAUGUUAUUGAGAAGAAACUCAAACAGUUACGGGAGCAAGUGUCCCAAGAUUUAAUGGCCUUGCAGGGAACCCAGAACCCAGCCCCACCCCUGCCCAGCUUCGACGAGGUAGACUCGGGGGACCAGCCUCCUGCAACAUCCGUGCCAGCUCCCCGAGCAAAGCAGUUCAGAGCAGUGAGAACUACAGAAGGCGAGGAGGAGACAGAGAGCAGGGUCCCCGGCAGCACACGGCCACAGCGCUCCUUCCUCUCAAGGGUGAUCCGGGCAGCCCUACCCCUGCAGCUGCUCCUCCUGCUGCUGCUGCUCCUGGCCUGCCUGCUGCCCUCCUCCGAAGAAGACUACAGCUGCACUCAGGCCAACAACUUUGCCCGGUCCUUUUACCCCAUGCUGAGGUACACCAAUGGGCCACCCCCCACAUAGAGGGCAUAGCUGGCCACAGUGCUACACCACCUGCCUGAUUGCCAAGGGUGCCCAGCACGUGGCCCCAGACCAAUCUGAGUGACUUAGUGUUGGCAAGGUCCCGGGACCUGUGCAGACUUCUUCUGGGCUUACCCAGCACGGGCUCCCUGGAGCCCAGGGCAGCUUUCAAAUUGUGUUCCUCCCCAGGAGCAGGGAACCUGUGCGGCAGGUGCCCCGGGUAUUUUGGCAGAACUAGUUGAUUCGUUUAGGGAUCUCUGGAAAUGUCAGUUUCCUGAAGAGCCAAGCACUUUGUGAAUUCUGGUUUAUUUGUAAAACAGCAUUAUUAUAAUGUAGGUAUGGUCAAUGAGCAGUGGUGUCCAUCACAUAUAUUAUAGAAGCAAGCGAGCACAUUCCACCCUAGAAAUGGUUCAGAAACUCAUAGGCACCCUUAGCUGAUGGAAACAAUCAUAUUUAAUAUGCUUAGAAUCAGUUUUACUCCAAUCAGCUGGCAAUUUUGAGCUACCGGUUAUACACCAAAAUGUUCUGUUCAGUACCUAGCUCUGCUCUUUUAUAUUGCUUUAAAUUUUUAAAGAAAUUAUAUUGCAUGGAUGUGGUUAUUUGUGCAUAUUUUUUAACAAUGCCCAAUCUGUAUGAAUAAUGUAAACUUCGAUUUUUUUUUAAAAAAAUUAGAUUUUAGCUGGAGCUUUUGACUAAUGUACAGUAAAUGCCAAACUACCGACUUGAUAGGGAUGUUUUUGUAAGUUAAUUUUCUAAGACUUUUUCACAUCCAAAGUGAUGCUUUGGGUUUUAACUGUUUGGCCACGGCGGGGGUGGGGGGCGGGGGUUGGUACAGAAACUUGAAGCUGUUUGUGAUAUGUACAACUCAGAUGUUUCUCAUUAAAAAACAAAAUUAGCC
rnacentral:sRNA from 1 species